UACGGGGGGGCAAGCGUUGUUCGGAAUUACUGGGCGUAAAGGGCUUGUAGGUGGCCAACUAAGUCAGACGUGAAAUCCCUCGGCUUAACCGGGGAACUGCGUCUGAUACUGGAUGGCUUGAGUGUGGGAGAGGGAUGCGGAAUUCCAGGUGUAGCGGUGAAAUGCGUAGAUAUCUGGAGGAACACCGGUGGCGAAGGCGGCAUCCUGGACCAUUACUGACACUGAGAAGCGAAAGCCAGGGGAGCAAACGGG
rnacentral:rRNA from 1 species